rnacentral:rRNA from 1 species
AAAGUCGUAACAAGGUUUCCGUAGGUGAACCUGCGGAAGGAUCAUUAGUGACUGUGAAUCGUUACCUUCGGUGCUGGCUCUGAACUUCAGAGCAAGUGCACGUUGGUGACUUUCAUCCAAUACCCAUGUGAACCUCUGGCCUCUUGUUGGCUUCGGCUGACAGAGGAUUUUUUUUACACAUUAACCCGAAUGUAAUGAAAACUACCGUUGUGCGCAAGCACGAAUAAUGUACAACUUUCAACAACGGAUCUCUUGGCUCUCGCAUCGAUGAAGAACGCAGCGAAAUGCGAUAAGUAAUGUGAAUUGCAGAAUUCAGUGAAUCAUCGAAUCUUUGAACGCACCUUGCACCCUUUGGUAUUCCGAAGGGUAUGCUCGUUUGAGUGUCAUUGUACUCUCACACUCUCUAAUGUGAUCACUUACAUUGGGAGCGGUGGACUUGGGUGUUGCUGCUCUGCGGUGGCUCACCUCAAAUGCAUUAGUGCACCUCCUGGUUAGACAUAGUACGGCGUGAUAAGUGUCUUCGCCGGCACCUCGAUAAGAGGGUGGCUGAUUAGGAGCUCUGUGCUUCUCCAACUGUCUUCGGACACUCUCUGACAACUUGACCUCAAAUCGAGUAGGACUACCCGCUGAACUUAAGCAUAUCAAUAAGCG